AGCGAACGCUGGCGGCAGGCCUAACACAUGCAAGUCGAACGAAGUCUUCGGACUUAGUGGCGGACGGGUGAGUAACACGUGGGAACGUGCCUUUAGGUUCGGAAUAACUCAAGGAAACUUGUGCUAAUACCGAAUGUGCCCUUCGGGGGAAAGAUUUAUCGCCUUUAGAGCGGCCCGCGCCUGAUUAGCUAGUUGGUGAGGUAAUGGCUCACCAAGGCUACGAUCAGUAGCUGGUCUGAGAGGAUGACCAGCCACAUUGGGACUGAGACACGGCCCAAACUCCUACGGGAGGCAGCAGUGGGGAAUCUUGCGCAAUGGGCGAAAGCCUGACGCAGCCAUGCCGCGUGGAUGAUGAAGGUCUUAGGAUUGUAAAAUCCUUUCACCGGUGAAGAUAAUGACUGUAGCCGGAGAAGAAGCCCCGGCUAACUCCGUGCCAGCAGCCGCCGUAAUAC
rnacentral:rRNA from 1 species